GCAGGCUGCAGACUGCAGCUCUGCCCCAACUCCAGAUCAUGCUGUCAUUGCUGCAAAAUCCCAGCCCCGACCCCGGAGCAGCUCCUCACCCAGCCCGGCGCCCUGCCAGUGCUGCUGGGGCUGGUCG